UACGUAGGGGGCAAGCGUUGUCCGGAUUUAUUGGGCGUAAAGAGCGUGUAGGCGGCCAGGUAGGUCCGCUGUGAAAACUCGAGGCUUAACCUCGAGAUGUCGGUGGAAACCAUCUGGCUAGAGUCCGGAAGAGGAGAGUGGAAUUCCUGGUGUAGCGGUGAAAUGCGCAGAUAUCAGGAGGAACACCAAUGGCGAAGGCAGCUCGCUGGGACGUGACUGACGCUGAGACGCGAAAGCGUGGGGAGCAAACAGG
rnacentral:rRNA from 1 species